GGUAGAAUGGCUGAGGAUAGGCGGUGGAUUGUAGCUCCAAUAAAUAGAGGUUUAACUCCUCUUUCUAUCA
rnacentral:tRNA from 1 species